rnacentral:rRNA from 1 species
UACGUAGGGUGCAAGCGUUGUCCGGAAUUAUUGGGCGUAAAGAGCUCGUAGGCGGUCUGUCGCGUCGGCUGUGAAAACCCGGAGCUCAACUCCGGGCCUGCAGUCGAUACGGGCAGACUGGAGUUCGGCAGGGGAGACUGGAAUUCCUGGUGUAGCGGUGAAAUGCGCAGAUAUCAGGAGGAACACCGGUGGCGAAGGCGGGUCUCUGGGCCGAUACUGACGCUGAGGAGCGAAAGCUGGGGGAGCGAACGGG